rnacentral:rRNA from 1 species
CCGACGGUGAGAGGCGAAAGCUGGGGGAGCAAACCGGAUUAGAUACCCGGGUAGUCCCAGCUGUAAACGAUGCGCGUUAGGUGUGUCAGUGACCACGUGUCACUGAUGUGCCGAAGGGAAACCGUGAAACGCGCCGCCUGGGGAGUACGGUCGCAAGGCUGAAACUUAUAGGAAUUGGCGGGGGAGCACCACAACGGGUGGAGCCUGCGGUUUAAUCGGACUCAACGCCGGAAAUCUCACCGGAUAA